rnacentral:rRNA from 1 species
ACAUGCAAGUCGAACGGCAGCACGGGUGCUUGCACCUGGUGGCGAGUGGCGAACGGGUGAGUAAUACAUCGGAACAUGUCCUGUAGUGGGGGAUAGCCCGGCGAAAGCCGGAUUAAUACCGCAUACGAUCUACGGAUGAAAGCGGGGGACCUUCGGGCCUCGCGCUAUAGGGUUGGCCGAUGGCUGAUUAGCUAGUUGGUGGGGUAAAGGCCUACCAAGGCGACGAUCAGUAGCUGGUCUGAGAGGACGACCAGCCACACUGGGACUGAGACACGGCCCAGACUCCUACGGGAGGCAGCAGUGGGGAAUUUUGGACAAUGGGCGAAAGCCUGAUCCAGCAAUGCCGCGUGUGUGAAGAAGGCCUUCGGGUUGUAAAGCACUUUUGUCCGGAAAGAAAUCCUUGGUUCUAAUAUAGCCGGGGGAUGACGGUACCGGAAGAAUAAGCACCGGCUAACUACGUGCCAGCAGCCGCGGUAAUACGUAGGGUGCGAGCGUUAAUCGGAAUUACUGGGCGUAAAGCGUGCGCAGGCGGUUUGCUAAGACCGAUGUGAAAUCCCCGGGCUCAACCUGGGAACUGCAUUGGUGACUGGCAGGCUAGAGUAUGGCAGAGGGGGGUAGAAUUCCACGUGUAGCAGUGAAAUGCGUAGAGAUGUGGAGGAAUACCGAUGGCGAAGGCAGCCCCUGGGCCAAUACUGACGCUCAUGCACG